rnacentral:lncRNA from 1 species
GGGGCUUUAGAAGCGGAAGUAUAAGGGGAAUUCAGGUCGUCAUUGGUUGUCGAAGGGGCUGAGGAGUCGGGGUCAAUCUCUUCCCCCUUUUCGUCUUCAUCAUCAAAGCCCUCCUCUUCCAAAUUGGUAAUUAGCCCCUGCAUGUCAGGGGAAGGAAGUCCAAGCAGUACCCAAAGCUCUCUUGCCUCGACCUUAAGCUGAGAAAGCACGAGAGGAAUAUCUGGUUCGCCGAUAUGUGCCUCAUGAAGGGUGUUAAGGCGAGUCUCCACAAUUUUCCAGGCCCGGUCGAUGACCAUUCUCUUCUGUAAGUUGACGAAGGCCUCUUGAGCAGACUCCUGAUCUCGGUUAUUGGCUUAGGCCCUCUCCUCAAUUGCUUCCCACUUGGAUCGUAGGCCCUGAACCUCGGCCUCUAACCGAAAGCAAUCUUUCCUCGGUCUCACUUUCGUGCUUGUCUUCAAAGCCAGCUCCCCUUCGAGGGUCGAAAUUAUAUCGGAAGUCCUAGAUCACUCAACCCGGAGGUAGGCUCGCUGGCCAAAAAUUCUUGCAUCCUUUGAUUGGCACUUCUUUCUGUGGCUUCUGUCCGCUCCUAAAGGGCCUCUUUCCCAGCUCUAAGCUCCUCGACCUCCUUCUAGAGCUUCUCAUUUUCAACCUUCAAUAGCUUAUCAUACCUCACUACCUCCUUGUCCAUGGCCAGAUCAAACCGAACCUUUUUUAGAGCCCCCGAGGAGAGGGCAACAAGCUGUUUAAAAAGAUAUAGAAGGAAAGAGGCCGAUAACUCCAACAAUGCGAGUAAAAAAAGAAAACUAACCAUAAUGUACUUUACCUUGGCGGCUUCAUGGGUUAUCUGAAUCACUAGCGCCUAAGCAUUCAAAGACUCCAUCUGAGCAUACUCAUGCUGAUUCAACAACUUGGGGAGUUGUACAAUCAUAGGCCAGGGAUCCGUGAAGAUGUCGGCACUCCCGGGUAGGGAGAGACUAAUAAACCUUUGGUCAUCAAUGGUUGGGCGUGACGAACUACCCGGAGCCUGAACUUGCACCUCUGAAGCAUCUCUCGAGGGCACCCUCUCAUCCGUAGGCGGCUCUACGUGGGAAGGUCGACCUUCAAGGUUAGGGGGUAGAGUGCAUCAACCCUCCUUACCUCAAUUUGGCCAGGUUGCCCGACUAUCAAUCUUUAUUUUGGGAUCAACUCUGCCACCUCCUUAGGCCUUAAGUCCAUGGGAUGAGGGGCCUCUUCAUAAGAUUCGACCAUGAUGGGCUCGGAUAGGACCGACUUUUCCUCUUCAACCCUAGGGAGAGUCGUUCUUCUCAUAGAAACCCGCACCCUUCAGGGAACAACGAGGAGGGGAAGUUCUGAGGAAGGACCGGCAUUAUCUCCUCGCGACACUUCGGAAAGUAGCCUAGUGGCAUCAGCGACAUAUGGAAGAUCUGUUGGGGCUUGUAGUUGAAAGGGGACUACACUCUUCUCGAGCCCCACCCC